rfam:Thiorhodospira sibirica ATCC 700588 ctg271, whole genome shotgun sequence.
GGUCAAGUGGUAAAGCGCAUACGGUGGAUGCCUAGGCGGUAGAAGGCGAUGAAGGACGUGGUAGUCUGCGAAAAGCCUCGGGGAGCUGACAAACAAGCUUUGAUCCGGGGGUGUCCGAAUGGGGAAACCCACCUCGCAAGAGGUAUCUGCAUCUGAAUACAUAGGGUGUAGAGGCGAUACCCGGGGAACUGAAACAUCUAAGUACCCGGAGGAAAAGAAAUCAACCGAGAUUCCGUUAGUAGUGGCGAGCGAACGCGGAUUAGCCCAAAAGCAUAUUUGAUUUUAGUGGAAUACUCUGGAAAGUGUAGCGAUAGUGGGUGAUAGCCCCGUACACGAAAGAAUCAAUUAUGUGAAAUUGAGUAGGGCGGGACACGUGAAAUCCUGUCUGAACAUGGGGGGACCAUCCUCCAAGGCUAAAUACUCUCUACCGACCGAUAGUGAACCAGUACCGUGAGGGAAAGGCGAAAAGAACCCCGGAGAGGGGAGUGAAAUAGAACCUGAAACCGUAUGCGUACAAGCAGUGGGAGCACCUUUAUGGUGUGACUGCGUACCUUUUGUAUAAUGGGUCAGCGACUUAACGUAAGUGGCAAGGUUAACCGUAUAGGGGAGCCGUAGGGAAACCGAGUCUUAAUAGGGCGAAUGAGUCGCUUGCGUUAGACCCGAAACCGGACGAUCUAUCCAUGGCCAGGGUGAAGGUGGGGUAAUUCCUACUGGAGGCCCGAACCCACUAACGUUGAAAAGUUAGGGGAUGAGCUGUGGAUAGGAGUGAAAGGCUAAUCAAGUCCGGAGAUAGCUGGUUCUCCUCGAAAGCUAUUUAGGUAGCGCCUCAUGUAUCACUCCUGGGGGUAGAGCACUGUUAUGGCUAGGGGGUCAUCCCGACUUACCAAACCAUUGCAAACUCCGAAUACCAGGAAGUGCAGCAUGGGAGACACACGGCGGGAGCUAACUUCCGUCGUGGAAAGGGAAACAACCCAGACCGCCAGCUAAGGUCCCAAAAUCAUGGCUCAGUGGGAAACGAUGUGGGAAGGCACAGACAGCCAGGAGGUUGGCUUAGAAGCAGCCAUCCUUUAAAGAAAGCGUAAUAGCUCACUGGUCGAGUCGGCCUGCGCGGAAGAUUCAACGGGGCUUAAGCCAUGUACCGAAGCUGCGGACUUGUCUUGGACAAGUGGUAGAGGAGCGUUCUGUAAGCCUGUGAAGGUGUGCUGUAAGGCAUGCUGGAGGUAUCAGAAGUGCGAAUGCUGACAUAAGUAACGAUAAGAUGGGUGAAAAACCCAUCCGCCGAAAGCCCAAGGUUUCCUGCGCAACGUUAAUCGACGCAGGGUUAGUCGGCCCCUAAGGUGAGGCAGAAAUGCGUAAUCGAUGGGAAACAGGUUAAUAUUCCUGUACCGUGUAGUACUGCGAUGGGGGGACGGAGAAGGCUAGGUCAUCCGGGCGUUGGUUGUCCCGGUUUAAGCAUGUAGGGAGUGUUUCCAGGCAAAUCCGGAAGCGCAAUCCUGAGGUGUGAUGACGAGUGUCUACGGACAUGAAGUGACUGAUGCCCUGCUUCCAAGAAAAUCCUCUAAGCUUCAGGUAAUACACGACCGUACCCGAAACCGACACAGGUGGGCAGGGUGAGAAUCCCAAGGCGCUUGAGAGAACUCGGGUGAAGGAACUAGGCAAAAUGGUACCGUAACUUCGGGAGAAGGUACGCCUCUGGCGGUGAUAGACUUCGCGUCUUGAGCUGCUGGUGGCCGCAGAGACCAGGCCGCUGCGACUGUUUAUUAAAAACACAGCACUCUGCAAACACGAAAGUGGACGUAUAGGGUGUGACGCCUGCCCGGUGCUGGAAGGUUAAUUGAUGGGGUCAGCCGCAAGGCGAAGCUCUUGAUCGAAGCCCCAGUAAACGGCGGCCGUAACUAUAACGGUCCUAAGGUAGCGAAAUUCCUUGUCGGGUAAGUUCCGACCUGCACGAAUGGCGUAACGAUGGCGGCACUGUCUCCACCCGAGACUCAGUGAAAUUGAAAUCGCUGUGAAGAUGCAGUGUACCCGCGGCUAGACGGAAAGACCCCGUGAACCUUUACUACAGCUUCACACUGAAUUUUGAACCUGCUUGUGUAGGAUAGGUGGGAGGCUUUGAAACCGGAACGCCAGUUUCGGUGGAGCCAUCCUUGAAAUACCACCCUGGCAUGUUUGAAAUUCUAACCUCGUCCCGUUAUCCGGGGCAGGGACAUUGUGUGGUGGGUAGUUUGACUGGGGCGGUCUCCUCCUAAAGAGUAACGGAGGAGCGCAAAGGUACCCUCAGCGCGGUCGGAAAUCGCGCACUGAGUGCAAAGGCAAAAGGGUGCUUAACUGCGAGACAGACACGUCGAGCAGGUGCGAAAGCAGGUCUUAGUGAUCCGGUGGUUCUGUAUGGAAGGGCCAUCGCUCAACGGAUAAAAGGUACUCCGGGGAUAACAGGCUGAUACUGCCCAAGAGUCCAUAUCGACGGCAGUGUUUGGCACCUCGAUGUCGGCUCAUCACAUCCUGGGGCUGAAGCAGGUCCCAAGGGUAUGGCUGUUCGCCAUUUAAAGUGGUACGCGAGCUGGGUUUAGAACGUCGUGAGACAGUUCGGUCCCUAUCUGCCGUGGGCGUCGGAAAUUUGAGAGGAUCUGCUCUUAGUACGAGAGGACCGGAGUGGACGUACCUCUGGUGUUCCGGUUGUCACGCCAGUGGCAUUGCCGGGUAGCUAAGUACGGAAGGGAUAACCGCUGAAAGCAUCUAAGCGGGAAGCCUACCUCAAGAUUAGAUUUCCCUGGACCUUAAGGUCCCUAAAGGGCCGUUGAAGACUACAACGUUGAUAGGCUGGGUGUGAAAGUGCAGUAAUGUAUGAAGCUAACCAGUACUAAUUGCCCGUGAGGCUUGGCCAU